rnacentral:rRNA from 1 species
UGAAUGGGGCAACCCAGCAUGUUGAAGACAUGUUACACCGUAAGGUGAGCAAACCCGGAGAACUGAAACAUCUAAGUACCCGGAGGAGAAGAAAACAAAAGUGAUUCCGUUAGUAGUGGCGAGCGAACGCGGAUUAGCCCAAACCAUUAAUGUUAAGGCAUUAAUGGGGUUGUAGGACUGCGAUAUUUGAGCUGUAAUGAAUUAGAAUCCUUUGGAAAGAGGAACCAUAGAGGGUGAUAGUCCCGUAUAAGUAAAGAACAGUAAGAUAGCAGUAUCCCUGAGUAGUGCGGGACGGGAAUAAUCCUGUAUGAAUCAC